CUACGGGUUGCUGCAGUGAGGAAUAUUGGUCAAUGGACGCGAGUCUGAACCAGCCAAGUAGCGUGAAGGAUGACCGCCCUAUGGGUUGUAAACUUCUUUUAUAAAGGAAUAAAGUUGGCCACGCGUGGCCUUUUGCAUGUACUUUAUGAAUAAGGAUCGGCUAACUCCGUGCCAGCAGCCGCGGUAAUACGGAGGAUCCGAGCGUUAUCCGGAUUUAUUGGGUUUAAAGGGAGCGUAGUUGGGAGUUUAAGUCAGCUGUGAAAGUUCGGGGCUCAACCCCGGAAUUGCAUUUGAUACUGGACUUCUUGAGUGCGGUUGAGGCAGGCGGAAUUCGUGGUGUAGCGGUGAAAUGCUUAGAUAUCACGAAGAACCCCGAUUGCGAAGGCAGCCUGCUAAGCCGUAACUGACAUUGAGGCUCGAAAGUGUGGGUAUCAAACAGGAUUAGAUACCCCCGUAGUC
rnacentral:rRNA from 1 species